GGCUUAACACAUGCAAGUCGAGGGGCAGCAUGAUCAAAGCUUGCUUUGAUUGAUGGCGACCGGCGCACGGGUGCGUAACGCGUAUCCAACCUGCCGUGUACUCUGGGAUAGCCCUCUGAAAGGAGGAUUAAUACCGGAUGUGGUCAUUUGGAGACAUCUCUUAAUGAUUAAAGAUUUAUCGGUACACUGAUGGGGAUGCGUACGAUUAGGUAGUCGGCGGGGUAACGGCCCACCGAGCCAACGAUCGUUAGGGGUUCUGAGAGGAAGGUCCCCCACAUAGGAACUGAGACACGGUCCUAACUCCUACGGGAGGCAGCAGUGAGGAAUAUUGGUCAAUGGGCGAGAGCCUGAACCAGCCAAGUAGCGUGAAGGAUGACUGCCCUAUGGGUUGUAAACUUCUUUUAUAGGGGAAUAAAGUGUGGCACGUGUGCCAUUUUGUAUGUACCCUAUGAAUAAGCAUCGGCUAAUUCCGUGCCAGCAGCCGCGGUAAUACGGAAGAUGCGAGCGUUAUCCGGAUUUAUUGGGUUUAAAGGGAGCGUAGGCGGACGCUUAAGCCUGCGGUCAAAUGUCAGCGCCCAACGCUGGCCUGCCGUGGGAACUGGGUGUCUUGAAUGUGCACAAGGAAGGUGGAAUUCGUGGUGUAGCGGUGAAAUGCUUAGAUAUCACGAAGAACUCCGAUUGCGAAGGCAGCCUUCUGGGGCAUGAUUGACGCUGAGGCUCGAAAGCGCGGGAAUCAAACAGGAUUAGAUACCCUGGUAGUCCGCGCCGUAAACGAUGAGUGCCCGCUUUUGGCGAUACACUGUCAGAGGCUGAGCGAAAGCAUUAAGCACUCCACCUGGGGAGUACGCCGGCAACGGUGAAACUCAAAGGAAUUGACGGGGGCCCGCACAAGCGGAGGAACAUGUGGUUUAAUUCGAUGAUACGCGAGGAACCUUACCCGGGCUUGAAUUGCACAGGAAAGGGAGGCAGAGACGCCUUCCGUCUUCGGACCUGUGUGAAGGUGCUGCAUGGUUGUCGUCAGCUCGUGCCGUGAGUGUCGGCUUAAGUGCAUAACGAGCGCAACCCCUUCGUGUAGUGCAUCAGUGAUGCUGGGCACUCUGCACGUACUGCCAUCGCAGGAUGUGAGAAGUGGGAUGAAGUCAAAUCAGCCCGGUCCUUACGUCGGGCUACACGGUACAUGGGGGCCCAAAGUGGUGGCCGCGAACGGUG
rnacentral:rRNA from 1 species